UACGUAGGGUGCAAGCGUUGUCCGGAAUUAUUGGGCGUAAAGAGCUCGUAGGCGGUCUGUCGCGUCUGCUGUGAAAACUCAGGGCUUAACCCUGAGCUUGCAGUGGGUACGGGCAGACUAGAGUGCGGUAGGGGAGGCUGGAAUUCCUGGUGUAGCGGUGAAAUGCGCAGAUAUCAGGAGGAACACCGGUGGCGAAGGCGGGUCUCUGGGCCGUAACUGACGCUGAGGAGCGAAAGCAUGGGGAGCAAACAGG
rnacentral:rRNA from 1 species